UACGUAGGUGGCGAGCGUUAUCCGGAAUGAUUGGGCGUAAAGGGUGCGCAGGCGGUCCUGCAAGUCUGGAGUGAAACGUAUGAGCUCAACUCAUGCAUGGCUCUGGAAACUGGAGGACUGGAGAGCAGGAGAGGGAGGUGGAAUUCCACGUGUAGCAGUGAAAUGCGUAGAUAUGUGGAAGAACACCGAUGGCGAAGGCAGUCUCCUGGGACGCAACUGACGCUCAUACACGAAAGCGUGGGGAGCAAACAGG
rnacentral:rRNA from 1 species